GUCGAAGUGGCGAAAUGGCAGACGCGCUAGCUUGAGGGGCUAGUGCCCGUUAGGGCGUGCGGGUUCAAGUCCCGCCUUCGACACCA
rnacentral:tRNA from 2 species